rnacentral:rRNA from 1 species
GUAGGUGGCAAGCGUUGUCCGGAAUUAUUGGGCGUAAAGCGCGCGCAGGCGGUCCUUUAAGUCUAAUGUGAAAGCCCACGGCUCAACCGUGGAGGGUCAUUGGAAACUGGGGGACUUGAGUACAGAAGAGGAAAGCGGAAUUCCAAGUGUAGCGGUGAAAUGCGUAGAGAUUUGGAGGAACACCAGUGGCGAAGGCGGCUUUCUGGUCUGUAACUGACGCUGAGGCGCGAAAGCGUGGGGAGCAAACAGGAUUAGAUACCCUGGUAGUCCACGCCGUAAACGAUGAGUGCUAAGUGUUAGGGGGUUUCCGCCCCUUAGUGCUGCAGCUAACGCAUUAAGCACUCCGCCUGGGGAGUACGGCCGCAAGGCUG